rnacentral:lncRNA from 1 species
GUCGUGCGAAGAUUGGUGCGCAAAAAUCUGCAAAACACAAAACUGCGUAUAGAGAUUGUGUUACCUAGGGAGAUCGUAUAUCCCUGUUUUCUUGUAGAUCCUUAGGAGAGGGUGAAGGAGGUCAAGCGUCCUCCUCUCUAGCGGUGAUCCACAUAGUAGGGUUGCGACGACGCUCCUCAAAACUCCAGGCCUACUCUGAG